CUUUAGCCGGAUCAGGGCGGGUAAACUCCUUACCACGUUAUUAUUAGCAGCAGGCACCCUGCAGUAGCCCGGACCCCGCGGCCCCGGGACUGUUCCAACAGGAUGGAAAACAGCCUCGCAAACACCAACAGCUUGCCCCAAAGGCACCUAUCGCUCCACAAACAUUGUUACAGUCUAGGACCUGAUUCCACAAGGACAACAGGAGUCCUUUUAGCAGGUUUUCUUUUCUUGGUGUUUUUUUUUUUUUCUCCCUGUAAUUAUUUUACAGGGUCUUUUGAGCCGCCAACGUGCACCAGCUCUCCGGUAAUGCAGCAGUGCAAAUGCCAGCCCUCUGCCCGGGCAGCUCUAUUCACACACCCCAGAAACCCGGCACAAAAAGCAUUUGCUUUCUGCUGCCUCCCGAGCUCCACAGUCUGUGUAGGCUGCCUAAUUAUAAGACCUUAGCAAUAUUUUUUUUUUCCAGUGAUAAUUAACUGGUCCUGGAGAGAGCUGAAAAUAAGCACUUCCCAAGCAAGUAACAAACUCCCCUGAGUUUUCUCUGCUAAAGUUACAACUCAGCAUGAAACUGCUCCAGCCUCACAGGGACACAGAUCAUCUCAGCACCUCCCUGCCACGGCCUGGGAUGCCACCACAGUGGCAGGCAGCUGAAUACAGGACCACUGGGAGUCUGGAAGUGACAGCACAGAGCUCAGUGCCCUCGGGAGCUGUGCCAGCCCAUGGGACCCGACACAGGCAGAAAAACACCCCCAGCGCAGUCCCAGGGAGCUGGGAGCAAAGCCUGUCCUCGGUGCAGAGCUGAGCACCCCAGGAGCCUGCUGUCCCCAUCUGUGCACCACCUGACUCGUCCCGGGCUGGCGUUGUCCCCGUGUCACCUGCCAGCUCCCCCCUAAAGGCCACAUCUGAUCCCGCAGCCGCGCGUGUGGCCAAGUGCCCUCUGACCUGUGCUCAGCAAUCCUCAGGUUUCCCCCCGCACAGAGGCUGGGGUGGGUGGCUCUGCCUCAGCCCCAUCGCUGCGUGGUGCCCCUGGGAGGGGGCACAGCUCCAGCACCCCACCAUCCCUCCCUGCUCUGGAGAAGGGGGACAAAGCAGGACGACAGCAAGGCAAAGAUUAACGACCCCAAAAUCAGCCCAUCACCGUGGCAAAGCCUUCACUCCUCCCUCCUCUACAUCACUCAAGUAGGCUCCUACAGGAGGUGACAUCCCGAGGAACAUCCGAGGUUGGACAGCUCAGAGGGGGGAUACAAGAGGUGAUGAGGGCUUGUCUGGGGGCAGAUUGGUGUCACCCUUGACACAGGGACUGCAGGCACCCUCAGGCCAGUAGAAGAGGGAUAAGAAAGGAGAGGUCAGCAGCACCUGGAGGAGCAGAGCCUUGGUGACCCAACAGCACCUCUCCUUCUGGAGCUGUGGCAAUGCUGAAAAGGGGACAGCUGAGGACAUCCCAAUGAGAAGGGCUGUGCUUGUAUGGCCACUUCCAUGGGAAAUCAAGCACACACAGCUCUUCCAAAAGCCAAAGCAGACCAAAAGGAAGGAAUCCCUUCA